ACUGCAUCCUGAUGAUUGAAUCUUAUGCAUAGUUCAUCUGAGGUUACUAGCCCAUGAACGAAACAAAUUCGCAAAUGUCUUUCGCUCCUAUCUGAAAUGCUUA
rfam:Glarea lozoyensis ATCC 20868 chromosome Tnknown GLAREA15, whole genome shotgun sequence.